rnacentral:rRNA from 1 species
UAGAGGAAGUAAAAGUCGUAACAAGGUUUCCGUAGGUGAACCUGCGGAAGGAUCAUUACUGAAGUGCUUGAAGAUGUUGCUGGCUUCCUGCGGGAGGCAAUGUGCACUCUUUCAAUCCUCACAACUUCCUUCAUCACCCUUGUGCACUCUCUGUAGGGUUUUCCCCCCCUUUUAGGAGGGGGGGACCCUAUGUUGUUUUUUUCCCUUCCACGCAUGCAUUGAAUGUGUAUGGUAAAUAAAACAAAUUUGAAACAACUUUCAACAAUGGAUCUCUUGGCUCUCGCAUCGAUGAAGAACGCAGCGAAAUGCGAUACGUAAUGUGAAUUGCAGAAUUCCGUGAAUCAUUGAAUCUUUGAACGCAUCUUGCGCCUCUUGGUACUCCGAGGGGCAUGCCUGUUUGAGUGUCAUUGAAAAAUUCAAAGGCUUCCCUCUUUUACCGCGGGUUGCUUUUGGAAUUUGAGGGCCUGUGCUGGCCACUUGCGAAUGCAAGCCCAGCUCCCUUCAAAUGAAUUAGCGAUGGCUGAUGCCUUCUCAAGCCGUGCUCGUUUCUGGCAUUGAUAGACCUUCAUGCCCGAGAUCCCUAGCAGGUUAGAGGUUGCGACCAUGGCUUACAACGGUCCCUGCAUUGGACAACAGCCACAAACUUGGCCUCAAAUCAGGUAGGACUACCCGCUGAACUUAAGCAUAUCAAUAA